UGUACAAAUGAUGAUUUUGAUACCGCCCCAGUCUGAUUUCUUCAUGACUGUUUGGUAUUACUGACGAACUGUG